AAGGGUGCGUAACGCGUAAGUAACUUGCCCAAGGUAACGGAAUAACGGUCGAGGAAAUCGGCGCUAAUACCUCAUAAUGCAGCGGAUCCGCAUGGAUAUGUUGUUAAAGGUUUACCGCCUUGGGAUAGGCUUGCGUCUGAUUAGCUAGUUGGUGUGGUAACGGCACACCAAGGCUACGAUCAGUAACUGGUCUGAGAGGAUGAUCAGUCACACUGGAACUGAGACACGGUCCAGACUCCUACGGGAGGCAGCAGUGAGGAAUAUUGGGCAAUGCUCGAAAGAGUGACCCAGCAACGCCGCGUGGAGGAUGAAGGUAUUCUAUAUCGUAAACUCCUGUGAGAGCAGACGAAAGACAGAUUAUUAAUCUGGAUGACUGUAUGCUCAGAGGAAGCCCCGGCUAACUACGUG
rnacentral:rRNA from 1 species